UGAGGCUUUCUGAGCUGUUUAACCAAGGUCUGUCUCCAGAGAACUGGAAAAUCCCAGUGAAAGCAGCAAAAAUGACAAUAUAGGUAAUAAAAAUUAUAAAGAAGUUGUGGGUAAGAGGAGUAACAAAUGAAUUUAAGCAAUGAAAAUACCUCUAGUGUCCAAACCAGCCCCAGGAGCCUCAAGCAUCUGUGAUCUCCAUGACUUUCAGGGGCCUCAGCUCUGUCAGACACCUGGAGGAACAACCUCAGGAGACCAUUCCAGCUUUGCAGAGAGAUGCCACAGCAGUUGUGAGGUCACACUUGAGUGUUUGUUGCCCAAAGGCAAGAAAUUUAGGCACUGGUGGCUUUUACAGGGCUGGAAACAAAGGUCAUCAGUCUAAAGAGAAGAAAGCGAACUGGGAACUGGAGAAGGGAUAGCUCUGGAUUACUUGUUGAAAGGUCUUGGCAGGCAAGAUCUAAAUGAACAUUUAUACACUUUGCUCCUUCCUGUAUGAGUCUGGGAAAUGAGAAUUUAUUUCUUACCACUGCAAUCAAUUUAUGUUCUCAAUUCUUUGUUAAUCAUUACAGUUGUGGGUCCAGCCUUGGCUGCUCCUUGAUUCUUCAUCCCCACCUGCCUCAGUAUCCUCCUCCCAAUCCAUUCCCCAGUGCUCCCCAAUAAAAGAUGUCCCUUUGUCCCCACCAAUAUCCCACUCUGGCAUGGCUGAACUUCCAAGAAGAUGGUUCUCCAGCUGGGGAGGCAAAGUGGGAUCUGUGUUGGGGUGGGAACAAAGUUCAUCGGGAGCUCUUUCCUACGAAGCUCUGGAGUCCAGAGCCCCUCUUGCCUGCCCUCCCAAUGUGCAAACACAGAGGCUGGACAAAGCUUCAAGAGCACCUGUCCAGAUUAAUAAAAGCACAUUCAGAGUCCGUGGCUUGUGCUGAGUUUUAAGCUGCAAGAUUCCUCAAACCACAGCUGCUUCAGUCUGAGAUACUGUGGCUUUGCAUGCCCACAUCUCAGUGAAGCCUGAAGCAACCUCUGGCUACACCCUGCACUCCAAGCAAAGGAGGUUCUGGGGACGAUUCAGUCCAU